UGGCUUACACAAAAAGGGACAAAGAGACACUCCCCUCCCCACCAUGGCUUCCCGAAGUCCUCAACAAAAUGGGGAGACUUCCCAGCAACAGACUGAUAAGAUUAACAAGGAUGGAAUGUUAUGGAAAUAGCAUGGCCUUUCUUCCCAACAUCCUAUGGGAACACAGGGAGCCAAACUUUAUGCCUAUGUCAUCUGUCUAUCACCCCAAAAAUCAUUAUUGACUAUAGUCACUAAAACUGCCUAAGGAAAAAAAGUAUAAAAAGAGAUCAGACAUGAGCAAAAUUGGGGAGAAGCUCCAUCACCUCUGCAGGGUAACUAAUGAGCUGCCCUGUCUCUUUCCACUCCUUUGGACACUGAAGGGACGAGCAACCAUUUACUCUGCUUUCUUUACCCUGACUUUGCCUUAUAGAUUACCGUCUUUCACCUUUACCCCAUAGAUACCUUAUUUACUAAUUGUAGUUUGCUACUUUGCUUUAUAGAUACUAAUUUUACCUUGCCCUACACCUUCAGCUGCAUUUCUU